ACGCGUGAAAGGAGGUGGUCCAAGCAAUGGUUUGCAGUGGGACUCGCGAGGUGACUGUCCGCUAGUCGCCGUUCCGCCUCGGCGCCGCCGCCCCCGGCGGUGGCAACCGGUCGCGACGGUGACCGGCGAAUACCAGGCAGUUACCCGAUCCCCGGACCGAUGAUGGACCAGUCCUGUCCAUCCCCCGCACCAUGCGGGAAGGUCCGGGGAUCGUUCCAU
rnacentral:sRNA from 1 species